CAGCAGCCGCGGUAAUACGAAGGGUGCAAGCGUUAAUCGGAAUUACUGGGCGUAAAGCGUGCGUAGGCGGUUUGUUAAGUCUGCUGUGAAAUCCCCGGGCUCAACCUGGGAAUGGCAGUGGAUACUGGCAAGCUAGAGUGUGUCAGAGGAUGGUGGAAUUCCCGGUGUAGCGGUGAAAUGCGUAGAGAUCGGGAGGAACAUCAGUGGCGAAGGCGGCCAUCUGGGACAACACUGACGCUGAGGCACGAAAGCGUGGGGAGCAAACAGGAUUAGAUACCCCCGUAGUCCCUGUCUCUUAUAA
rnacentral:rRNA from 1 species